rnacentral:rRNA from 1 species
CUCAUGAUGAACGCUAGCUACAGGCUUAACACAUGCAAGUCGAGGGGCAGCAUGGUCUUAGCUUGCUAAGGCCGAUGGCGACCGGCGCACGGGUGAGUAACACGUAUCCAACUUGCCGUCUACUCUUGGACAGCCUUCUGAAAGGAAGAUUAAUACAAGAUGGCAUCAUGAGUCCGCAUGUUCACAUGAUUAAAGGUAUUCCGGUAGACGAUGGGGAUGCGUUCCAUUAGAUAGUAGGCGGGGUAACGGCCCACCUAGUCUUCGAUGGAUAGGGGUUCUGAGAGGAAGGUCCCCCACAUUGGAACUGAGACACGGUCCAAACUCCUACGGGAGGCAGCAGUGAGGAAUAUUGGUCAAUGGGCGAGAGCCUGAACCAGCCAAGUAGCGUGAAGGAUGACUGCCCUAUGGGUUGUAAACUUCUUUUAUAAAGGAAUAAAGUCGGGUAUGGAUACCCGUUUGCAUGUACUUUAUGAAUAAGGAUCGGCUAACUCCGUGCCAGCAGCCGCGGUAAUACGGAGGAUCCGAGCGUUAUCCGGAUUUAUUGGGUUUAAAGGGAGCGUAGAUGGAUGUUUAAGUCAGUUGUGAAAGUUUGCGGCUCAACCGUAAAAUUGCAGUUGAUACUGGAUAUCUUGAGUGCAGUUGAGGCAGGCGGAAUUCGUGGUGUAGCGGUGAAAUGCUUAGAUAUCACGAAGAACUCCGAUUGCGAAGGCAGCCUGCUAAGCUGCAACUGACAUUGAGGCUCGAAAGUGUGGGUAUCAAACAGGAUUAGAUACCCUGGUAGUCCACACGGUAAACGAUGAAUACUCCGCUGUUUGCGAUAUACUGCAAGCGGCCAAGCGAAAGCGUUAAGUAUUCCACCUGGGGAGUACGCCGGCAACGGUGAAACUCAAAGGAAUUGACGGGGGCCCGCACAAGCGGAGGAACAUGUGGUUUAAUUCGAUGAUACGCGAGGAACCUUACCCGGGCUUAAAUUGCAGAUGAAUUACGGUGAAAGCCGUAAGCCGCAAGGCAUCUGUGAAGGUGCUGCAUGGUUGUCGUCAGCUCGUGCCGUGAGGUGUCGGCUUAAGUGCCAUAACGAGCGCAACCCUUGUUGUCAGUUACUAACAGGUUUUGAUGAGGACUCUGACAAGACUGCCAUAGUAAGAUGUGAGGAAGGUGGGGAAGACGUCAAAUCAGCACGGCCCUUACGUCCGGGGCUACACACGUGUUACAAUGGGGGGUACAGAGGGCCGCUACCACGCGAGUGGAUGCCAAUCCCCAAAACCUCUCUCAGUUCGGACUGGAGUCUGCAACCCGACUCCACGAAGCUGGAUUUGUUAGUAAUCGCGCAUCAGCCAAGGCGCGGUGAAUACGUUCCCGGGCCUUGUACACACCGCCCGUCAAGUCAUGGGAGCCGGGGGUACCUGAAGUGCGUAACCGCGAGGAG